CCUACGGGAGGCUGCAGUGGGGAAUAUUGCACAAUGGGGGAAACCCUGAUGCAGCGACGCCGCGUGAAGGAAGAAGUAGUUCGGGAUGUAAACUUCGAUCAGCAGGGAAGAAAAUGACGGUACCUGACGAAGAAGCCCCGGCUAACGACGUGCAAGCAGCCGCGGUAAUACGUAGGGGGCAAGCGUUAUCCGGAUUUACUGGGUGUAAAGGGAGCGUAGGCGGUUUAGCAAGUCAGAAGUGAAAGCCCGGGGCUCAACUCCGGGACGGCUUGUGAAACUGUUGAACUAGAUUGCAGGAGAGGUACGUGGACUUCCUCGUGUCGCGGUGAUCUGCUUAGAUCUUAGGCGGCACCCCAGUGGCGAAGGCGGCUUACUGGACUGUACAUGCCGCUGAGGCUC
rnacentral:rRNA from 1 species